GACGAACGCUGGCGGCGCGCCUAACACAUGCAAGUCGAACGGAGCUAUUUCGAUAGAUCCCUUCGGGUGACAUUGGCUUAGCUUAGUGGCGAACGGGUGAGUAACACGUGAGGAACCUGCCCUUCAGAGGGGGACAACAGUUGGAAACAGCUGCUAAUACCGCAUAAUGCAUACGGAUCGCAUGGUCUGUAUGCCAAAGAUUUAUCGCUCUGAGAUGGCCUCGCGUCUGAUUAGCUAGUUGGCGGGGUAACGGGCCACCAAGGCGACGAUCAGUAGCCGGACUGAGAGGUUGGCCGGCUACAUUGGGACUGAGACACGGCCCAG
rnacentral:rRNA from 1 species